AGCAAACCUGUAAAAGAAUUUAUCAGCAGGGCUGAGAACUUGGUAGGGACGGGCUCUAAAUUCCUGAAUAAGUUUUUCUAAACUCUCUUUUAGGAGCAUUUUAGGAAAAUCUCUGGGGGAAAAAACUGUCAUAUACAUGAAGAGGAAGAAAGGUAUUCAGGAAAGCCACCCCAAACCUGUCAGGUCUGAGUAUGUGGAAACCUAAUGUAAAACAACAGCGGCUAGAAGCACGCAUGGCAGACCAGCGAGCUCUCACAGACGUCAGGCACCUUUGUGUUCUGCCUGGCCUUCUGGAGGAGGCAACCUGGAUCCCAAGCAUAAGCUAGACAGGCCUCUGCUUUGUGGUUGGCCCACCUCAGCCUUGAUCAGUUACAUACUCAGGAACAUAACAGAUACACAUUUACCUUUUCUGUUUGGUUCCCCCACCCCUUCCUCUUCUUGGGUGGUUUCCUAGUUACUGAGCCGGAGUUAAAGCCUAGCCUGGCUGAGCCCUGUGAUUAUUCAUUGACUAUUAUGGCUCGAUUCACAGGGAAGCUGGGGCCUUUCUGCAAAUUGAAUCUAAUAAAAGCGCACUCCUUCUGCUCUGAGAUCAAAAGUCAAUGGCGUUAGGAGGAAAUGGAGGCUGGGGAAGGCUCGUUGGCUUGGAGCUGGUAAGGAGCUGGUACAUGGGAAGUUGCUGGUCUGAGUGAUGGCUGAAUUGUGUAGGGUGUUUAACACCACGGAGGGACACACACAGAAGCAUGACACAGAAGAGAAGGCCAGCUAGAGAUGGAGGUAGAGAUUAUACUGAUGCAGCCACAGCCAAGGGAUGCCUGGGGCCACCAGAAGUCGGGAGAGGUGAUGAAGGAUCUUCCCCAGGGGCCUUCCAUGCUAUCAUGGCUCCUACAGACACCUAGGCUCUGGACUUCUGGCCUAUAGAACAGUGAAGCAGUAAGUUCUCUCAUUUAAGAUGCUUGGUUUAUACAAUACGCCAUGACAGUCCCGGAAAAUUAGUACAGGUCCCAUGAGAAGUGAUCGUGGAAGGCAGAGGGAGCUGGAAGCACAGUGGGAAGCCAUGAUGAGAAAUUGUCUAAGAAAAGAAAAUGAGUGUCUUAUCAAGACAGUUAAGAAGAAGAAAAAAAAUGAUGUUUUUGUUGUU